GGAACGCGAGAGAGGCCUGACAGGAACCAGGCCUCUGACCAUGGCCGGUUCCUGCCUCUGUUUCUGUUUCCAUAGAAAUGACCAUCUGAUCAGCUGAAAUAAGUUCAAGAUUCCUUUACAUUGUUUUCCUUUCUUCUUCCUUUGGAGAUAACCCCACAAGGUUUGGCCAAUUGGAAAAAAAUGGGCUUGUUGGCUCCAAGUCACCAUGUUGGAGAAGUUAAAUAUUCUCCCAGCAGCGACAGCAUGCUUCUACUCCAGCUUCACAUUGGUCUGCUCCUGUGAUGGCUACCACCCACCCCACCACCACCACCAUCUGGGGUGAGGUGCUCACAACCUUUGAAUCACCAAUCAUCUUCCAAGUCACUUCCGGCAGUUGGAUAACCUUUAUGACUGCACACGUUGCUGGGCAUUCAGGAUGGUCCCUAUCAAACUGAGAUGAAUGUGUUCCCUAAUGUCUGUUUUUAUUACAUUAGGCUGGGAAGAUGAAAUCAAAAGAACUACUUUCAACAAAAAUGUCCUGUGUGGACAGUUCAAUACUCUUUCUACAGGCCCCGGUGAUUGCCCUCAUUGUAUGCGGGAUAAAGGCUAAACGCGCAGCUACCCGCUAGUUUGACAAGGCUGUUCUCCCGCCAGCAGGUUGCUCAGACUUUUUUUUUUCAUAGCAGCCCUCUGAUUCCACCAAACCCACUGGAUUAACAAAAACCUGAAAGCAAAAUAGCACAAAAUGAUAUCCCCCACAUGCACCACUAUUAGACUUUGCAACCUACAAUUACACCAGUUCAAUCUAAAUGCCCCCAAACAUAAUUUCAUUAAUGCCAGCCAUUUCAGAACUGGUAAAUAUUUUCUCUUCUUGGAUUUUCUCUUAUUAUGGGUCUUCAGCCGAGAAUGAUGAAGCAGAUAGGCACAGGCCACCCGAACAAUGUAGUGGGGGAACCAACCGCCCGGUCAAGAUGACAGGAGAGUGAGGGGCUGGUAGAGGAAUGAAGAGGGAAACUGAGAAAGUCAAUUUGGAGAGAAAAAGGGGGGAGGGAACAAACAAGCAGAGGAGGAAGAGGGAAGGAGAUCGAGGAGGAAUUCUGUGGGCAGGUACACAGAGCUGUGCCUGGGACUGCACGCCCGUGGCUGGCAUCGCCUAGGGAGCUGGGAAGUGCAGUCCAGCAAAGCUGCACGCCACCUGUGGGCACAGGACCUGGGCCUCAGAGCUGCUUUUAAAGGCCAGCCUUCAAGAUGUCCUAUGGUCUCCGACUCAAACCCUUUAAAGAGAUUUCCUCCUGUGAUAGAAUCCUUUGACUGAUACAGAUGCACAGUGGGUCGUUAAUUUACUUUAUCAGAGAAAAAAAAUUGUCCUAACAUUCUUAGCUGAUCCAAAAUCUGCCUUCUGUAAAACAGCUUUCCGGAGUUGGCAAAGAAGAUUAGGAGGAAGAUUGCAGAGCUUGGGCACACCCCGGCGACGUGUGUGUGCUCUUGGGCAGCCCCGCAUCGGCAAAGAGAGGGCAGGACAUGUGCACAGUGGAUCUCAAUGGGUGACUCAUUUCGGGGGCAUUGCAAUGGUCCAGAGGAGGGAUCAGGGAAAGACAAAGACCUCAAUUUUAGUACCGGCUUUGGCACUUGUAAGCUGGGACAUGGGGGAAGCUCAAGUGUGUGAACCACCAUUCGGUCAACUGGAACAAAGAAAAACAGCACCUGCCUCAUAGAGUUCCCGUGACAACUACAUGCCAUGGGACAGGGCUGCAGGGUCCCAAGGCAUGAGCUCGUUUGUUGACUCCUCUUCCUGCCCCACAUCUGGGAUUUACCCCACCGUGGCUCCUCUGGGGACUCCUCUGCUGUCAUCCUGUGGCCUCAUGUCGGAGCUGGAAGAUCAGCCAAAGCAUCUGGAACCUCGCAAUCUUGCAGCUCAAAAGGAAGAAGAAAAAAGAAGAAAAAAAAAAUCCACGAAUCCCAUGCAUCUGUGAAACUCCAAUGAACUCUCUCCCUGGGAAAAGUUCCCAGACUCGCUCUCGGCUUCCCACUCAGAAACAAGCGCAGAGCUGGCAGGCGCCGAGAAGGCUCCGCGCACCAUCUGACUCCGCGCCCCUCCAAUACCCACUCCUGAUUUCAGACGCCUGAGCUGGCUCCGCUGGGCAAGGUGGCGCCUAAUUACCUCCCUUCUGUUUUUUUCCCUCCUCUCGUCCUCUCCCCUCCCCACCCCUCAGAGGACAGCCUUUCCAAGAAAUAACACACACGCACACACCUGGCACGAUGCGAUAGGGAAGCUCACCAUGGAUACCGGGCUACCAUUCCCACUCCGGCAGGGGCUCCUGGGAAUAAGUAACUAUCUCUAGAAUGCUACAAACUCCAGAUGUGCACCGACUAGUGCCUUGAGACCCGGCUUCCUUGUCUCAUUAUGCUGAGUUUUUUCACAAGUUUCAUAUAUGCAUAUCAAGCCUUCAGAAGGGGAAAAAAUGGGAAAUGGUAAUCUUCCUUUUAAUAUGCUACCACAUGCCAGCCCGGAACAGCUGUGCACACACACCACCAUGGACUGGACAUGAAAUAUAGCCCAGGACCAUUUUUUAAGCAUUCAUUCCCAGGGCUUACAAAACACAUUUACUUGGAGGGAGGUCACACAGUCUUCCUUCUGCAUAAAAAGGUGGCUUUGAAAUAGGUACAGCCAUCUGGAAACAGCCUCCUCUGCCAUUGAUAUGUAAAAUGCACAUAUUACACCAUCUUGCUCGGGACUGUACGGCAGGAGGCAGAGACACGCAGAGGCCCAUAAUUGUUUAAAUAUACAGCCUCCGGUUCUCCACAGUGCUUACCUUGCUCUGAAAAAACCAUUUGCCAGCAGUCUAGGUGACUCUGGACAGGCUGGAGAGGCAAUUUGCUCAUGGGGGCGUUCAUCUGUGUGCAGGAGGAGUGUCCUGGAGUCCAGAUUUGGGGGGAAAUUAUUUGCACGCUCUCCGGUGCUGCUCCAGCCUUGCUAAUAAGAAAGAAUAUGUCAAGUGCAUGACUGGGAGUAAAUAGCAAACACCCCAUCGAAAUAAUGACCUCUGCUCUUUUGCUCAUUAUAGCCGAGCAUUUGCUUCCCUCCCUAGAAGACUUAGAUCCCACCUUUAAUAACUGGCUUUGUCAGGCAUUUAAAGGAAAAGAGCAAUGGGUCCUAUUUCACUAAUUGAUCUCGAUGUAGUCAGGGGGAUGUUUCUGUAUGUUUAUUAACAUUUGCUCCUUAAAAUGAGUGCGUUCCCCCCACCCCACCCAGCAAGACCUCACUGUUGCAGACCUUAUCCAAAUAAAUUCUUGACCUCUGAAGCUAU